ensembl:lncRNA
CAUGAAUUGUUGUGUCAGAGUGGAGGAAAAAUGAGGGGCUUUCUGAAGAAAACUCUCCCUCUGUGAGUAUGGGGCCAUGGGAAUAGCUCAGCCACUGCUUAUGGCAAACCGAUCCGGUUUGCUCUUGGGCUUUUACCCAUGGUGCUUUCCUCCUAUGUCACCUGCAUUAGUACAGCCUCACUGCUUUUUUAGCUUGGAGUGGGAGCAGGCAGAGCUUGUGUUUGCCCACACCAUAGUGCAUAAACAAACAGUUUUGCAAAAAGGGUAAUUUCCACGCAACAUGGACUGAGCUCAUAAGGAAUACAUUUGGAGCACAGUGCUGGAUAGUUUGCUUUGUGGAGAAAACAAGAUAUUUACAGUUUAUACUGAUAACUAUUUAAUGGUGUUUUCCUUUGCUUAAGCACAGCAGAAUUUCUUAUCUGCUUAUAUAGUCUCCGUUACUGUAAUAACUGUAUGUUACAGUAAUUAACAAGGUCAGACUAAGAGUACCCUUGAGACAUAAGGCAUAUUUAAUUCUCUUUUAGAGCCGAGAAUCUGUGGCAAAAGGAACAAAGUGACCCAAGGUUCACUGAAGAGGCUGCGAUGCCCUGAAUACUGUGCUAUAGCUUCAUGACUUCAUCUGGCAGCUUUGUGAGGUUGAAUGGUCCUGUCUUGGAUCACACAGAUCAUUGAGAAUACAAAAGUGCAAUGCCAGGCACAAACCUCCAGGCUUGUGGAGUACCCCUGAGCAUUACCACUGGGAACAGCAAAAUCAGGUGUGUACCGCCUCACACAGAUGCAAACCUGCCUGCUCUCUUGAUUUUGUGCUGCAUACUGGUUCCUUUUGGCGUGUCAGCACUCCUGAAGCCAACGUGCUGCAGCACACGCACACGGUGCAGGAAGCACACAAGCUGGAGAACAUGACCGCAUGGAUGGCCACCAGCUCUGCAGGCAGCACCCAUCCUCUGCCUGCACCCUUCUCAUCCUCAGGCAGCCAUGCCGGGCCCUUGGGUCAUGACUACAGGGUUGAACCUAAAACACCUUGUCCCAAGACGCUUGAUGUUUGUUCUCAUUUGGUUCUUCACCCUUCUGGAGGAGGAAGCAGGUGUGUCCCUUUUUUUCCUGGAAUCAGACUGGAACCAGCACUCCAGCUUCAACAUGCAAAACUGUGGUGUGAGGGUUUGCCUCAGAGUGAUUGCUAAGGCCACAUGGGUGACAGCACAUACCCAGAUUCCCCUGCUUGGCUCUUUGCUGCCUCUGACUGUUCUUGGAAGUAGAGCCCCAUUUUCACAUUUUCUUGGAAUAAUCGCAUAUUAAGAACAUCUCUUCUGAGAGUCUUCUGCAGCUGCUUCAUAUCACUUCUUCGGGAGUUUUUCUGUAUGAUCUGAAAAAGGCGUCCUCCAGAUCGAACUUACCUGCCUAUGUUGAAGCCAUAACCUUGUUUCCCAGCAUGAGGGGGUACUCAGGCCUCCUAGCAAUCCUUGGUAAAGCCAGUAUCUCCCAGGCAGUUUGCAUCAAGUAAGCUUGAAAGAAAUAUGAGAAGGAGGGAAAAAAUGAGAAAAAAAGCUGGUUGGUGUUAAGAAAAAAAAAAACUCAUUGUUUUUCUUCCUUUUCUUUUUUUUUUUUUUUUUUUUUUUUUUUUUUUUUUCCCUGCCAAUUUCAUUUUUCUAAAUAACGUUGCUAAGCUCAAACAUUAACCCAUCAGGCAUCUCUCUGCUGGUUUUCAACAUAGGUGCUCACAGGCACUGUUUCAUCCCAGUUAGAAUCUCUAUGUGUAACAAUCUCCUUUUCUACUUCUACCAAUCAUCUAGCCUUUUCAUUUGUCAUUGGGUGAUGGUGUGUUGACAAUCCAAGUUAAUAACUUAUCUUCCUGAACUUAUCUUAUCUUCUACCUAAGUACUACUGAAUGCCAGAGGGACUAUCUGUCACAAGAUUAGAAAGGGCAGGAUAAUAGGAGUCAUAAUUACAGAUCUAAUUUUGCAUAUAUAUAAUAAAAGAAAGUCAGAUGUGGUAAAAGCA